ACACGGUGUGUGUGUGUGUGUGUACACGGUGUGUGUGUGUCAUCAACACACUGAAAUAUCUGUUUGUUUCUGACUCCAUGCUGACAGACUGUUGGUUAAUUCUUGUUUUAAUUCAUUUUAAUUGAUUUGUUGUUGUUUUUUCAGACGGUGACGAAGGAACCUGGUUGAUAACGGACAGAGACAGAGAGGCUCAGAUCGUUAACCGGCGUGGGGGCGGUCCUCGGGUGAAGCGGGUGGCGAUCCGUUACUAUGCCGACAAGAACGUCACCUGUCACAGCUGUAAGAAGAUUGGACACCUCUCCAAGAGCUGUCCUAUGCCCCGGGAGCCGUGUUGCAUGUUGUGCGGGGAGCGAGGUCACAUGAUGUCGUCGUGUCCCAGCAAGCAUUGCAACAACUGCGGUCUGCCCGGUCACUUGUACGAGACGUGUGUCGGACCCAACCUACGCUACAGAUAUUGUCACCGCUGUGGCGUGCAGGGACACGUUAGCGACGCCUGCCCAGAGAUAUGGAGACAGUACCACAUCACGGUAAGACUGUGUUUGUGUGUUUGUGUGUGUGUGUGUGUGUGUGUGUGUGUGUGUG